rnacentral:rRNA from 1 species
UGCGCCUGAUGCCAUUAGGUUGAGGGCACGUCUGCCUGGGCGUCACAUAUCGAAGCCUCUUGCCAAUUUCCUAUUGAUUGGUAUUGUGCAAGAUGAUGUUGGCCUCCCGUGAGCACCAUCGCCUCAUGGUUGGUUGAAAAUCGAGACCUUGGUAGAGUGUGCCAUGAUAAAUGGUGCAUGUGUUAAGCACGAGACCAAACAAUCAUGUGCUGCUCUAUUGAAUUUAGCCUCUUUUACCCACAUGCGUGUCUAAACGCUCGUGAUGAGACCUCAGGUCAGGCGGGGCUACCCGCUGAAUUUAAGCAUAUCAAUAAGCGGAGGAAAAGAAACUAACAAGGAUUCCCUUAGUAACGGCGAGCGAACCGGGAUAAGCCCACCAUGAGAAUCGGUCGCCCUCGGCGUUCGAAUUGUAGUCUG